AGUGAACGCUGGCGGUAGGCCUAACACAUGCAAGUCGAACGGCAGCACAGUAAGAGCUUGCUCUUACGGGUGGCGAGUGGCGGACGGGUGAGGAAUACAUCGGAAUCUACUUUUUCGUGGGGGAUAACGUAGGGAAACUUACGCUAAUACCGCAUACGACCUACGGGUGAAAGCAGGGGAUCUUCGGACCUUGCGCGAUUGAAUGAGCCGAUGUCGGAUUAGCUAGUUGGCGGGGUAAAGGCCCACCAAGGCGACGAUCCGUAGCUGGUCUGAGAGGAUGAUCGGCCACACUGGAACUGAGACACGGACCAGACUCCUGCGGGAGGCAGCAGUGGGGAAUAUUGGGCAAUGGGCGCAAGCCUGAUCCAGCCAUACCGCGUGGGUGAAGAAGGCCUUCGGGUUGUAAAGCCCUUUUGUUGGGAAAGAAGAGCAGCAGGUUAAUACCCCGCUGUUCUGACGGUACCCAAAGAAUAAGCACCGGCUAACUUCGUG
rnacentral:rRNA from 1 species